GUCUUAAACGACCACCCAUGCCCGUCUCCAUUUUGUUCCCAUCCAGAGUUAGUUUACUCUGCAGCAAGAAGCCACCAACACUGGCAUUCCCACAUCAUAGCAAUGUGAAAUACACGCUUCUGACGUCUGAAACAGUCUGGCCAGCUAGUUUUCUCAAGGCAUUCCUGGUUCAAAGGCAGAAGGCUGUCUUGAGUUUGUCCUCCCUGGAACUAUAAUAAAAUGUAAAAGGCAGAAAAGCACACUGUGAAGUGAGUCAAAAGACGAGGAAAGAACCCAAUACAAUGACUGUAUGACUGCCUGCAAAUGCCUUGAAGGGAUACGUAAAUGAUGCGACUACUAAGUAAGCCUCAAGUUCAUCACAUGGUAAGUGAUCGAUUUCCCUAUGCUUCCUCAUUCUUUAUAAAGAAAAUCUAGAUCCAUUAUAAGACCACACAAACCAACUGCU